rnacentral:misc_RNA from 1 species
AGCAGGAUAUAAGCUAGAAGCUGCCAUUGAACAGUUGGGUGUUGAUGUAGCUGGCAAAGUGGCCCUUGAUUCAGGUCUGUCAACUGGGGGAUUUACUGACUGCUUGCUUCAGCAUGGUGCAUCAUUUGUUUAUGGAGUUGAUGUAGGUUAUGGACAGGUGGNAUUCGCAGAGAUGACCGUGUUUGUGUGGUAGAAAGAACAAACUUAAGAUACCUCCCUGGACUCCCCCAAAAAGUUGAUUUGGUGACCCUAGAUCUCUCAUUCAUCUCUAUUCUCCUGGUCAUGCCUGCUGUAGUCAAUGUUAUGAAAGAAGAUGCAACAUUAAUUACCUUGGUUAAACCUCAAUUUGAAGCUCGCAG